rnacentral:lncRNA from 1 species
GGGGCACCAACCAAUAGGCUUGUAGCCUGGGUGGGAUAAAAGUCCAGAAGGCUCACCACUUCCUGCUUCCUGCCUGCCAUGCCAUGGACUGUUUCUCCUCUGUGAUGCCCCUCUGCGGUGCCCCUCUGUGAUGCCACCCAGCCGACUAUGGAGUGAAACCUCUACCAGCUGCGAGCCGCAAUGGACCUUUCCUCCUUUAACUUAUGUGAAGCCGUUCAGAGAGGCAGAGAGACUCCUGCAUGGACACCUAGCAGAGCUGGGAUCUGCAGCAGUCGGCAUGACUUUGGGAUUCCAAUAGUGGUCGGUGUGGGAACAGAAGCUCCCAAGUAGAGAACUGCCCACGGGGAUGCACCAAGACCUGGAAGUCUGGGGCUGGGGCGGUAAGGGCUUGUGAAAACUCAACUUGGAACAAAACCAAAUUACUUUCCAAGUGCAUCUUCCUUACUAAACAGCUCUACAAGGACGGAGACAUCUCUGCAGCUUUUGUCCCAGCUCGAGAACAGUGCCAGGUGUUUGCUGAAUGAAUGCAUGAACUGUGUCCGAUGGGUACCAAGUUCUGCAUCAGCAACUCUCCGUGUGUAACUGUUUCACCUUGUCAUCGACUCUGUGGCACGGGCAUUAUUAACCCUGGCUAGGAGUUACUCAUACAAGAACUUGGUGACUUCAUUUAAACUAGGAGUGGCACAGAUCUCCUCAUUCUCCCCGUCAGAACUACGACCCUAGAAACCGAGAGCAAGGAAGCAUCUGAAAAGGAGAAGUUAGUUCUGGAGAAAACUGAACAUAACUGGUGUGCACGCGUCACUGUGAAAUGGCAUCUUUCUCUUUGGGGAAGACCAGAACGGGGAGAGCGGGUCGAAUGCCAUUUCUGUUUCUAGUUUUCUGAGGAAUCUCUGUCCUGAUUGCCAAAAGCAC